UACAGAGGUCCCAAGCGUUGUUCGGAUUCACUGGGCGUAAAGGGUGCGUAGGCGGUCGAGUAAGUCUGAUGUGAAAUCUCACAGCUUAACUGUGAAACUGCAUUGGAUACUAUCCGGCUCGAGGAAUGGAGGGGAGACUGGAAUACUUGGUGUAGCAGUGAAAUGCGUAGAUAUCAAGUGGAACACCAGUGGCGAAGGCGAGUCUCUGGACAUUUCCUGACGCUGAGGCACGAAAGCCAGGGGAGCAAACGGG
rnacentral:rRNA from 1 species